CCCUAUGGGGCGCCUUUUUGGGAGGGGGUUCGGUAAAUAAUCCGGAGGGCACCUAUCAUCUGGAAAUUAUUACGAAUAACAAAGCCCAUGCAGAGGCAAUUGCCAAAUUAAUGCAUGAAUAUGACUUGCCUGCAAAAAUCAGCGGACGCAAAAAUUGGUUUGUUGUUUACCUAAAAGAGAGUGAACAAAUUGUUAAUUGUCUGAAUAUUAUUGGAGCUCAUCAGGCAAUCCUUGAUUUUGAAAACACCCGAAUUAUGAAGGGGAUGAGAAAUCAAGUCAAUCGUCUGGUUAAUUGUGAAACCGCAAAUGUAAAUAAAACAGUGGAUGCUGCCGUGCGGCAAAUUGAGGCCAUCCAUGUGAUCGAGUCUGUGAUCGGAUUAAACAAGCUUUCCCCCGCACUAAAACAGGUAGCAGAACUCCGCCUUGCCUAUCCUGAUAUUAGCCUUAAGGAAUUGGCGGGGGAGC
rnacentral:rRNA from 1 species